GGGAAUGUGGCUUAAUGGUAAAGCGCUUGCUUAGCAUGCAUGAGGCCUUGGGUUUAAUUCCUCAGUACCA
rfam:Dipodomys ordii contig_25489, whole genome shotgun sequence.